CCUACGGGGGGCUGCAGUGGGGAAUAUUGCACAAUGGGGGAAACCCUGAUGCAGCAACGCCGCGUGAGCGAUGAAGGCCUUCGGGUCGUAAAGCUCUGUCCUAAGGGAAGAAUACUGACGGUACCUUGGGGGGAGGCCCGGCUAACUUACUGGCAGGAGCCGGGGGAACACGUAGGGGGCUUGCGUUAUCCGGGAUUUAUGGGCGGAAAGGGGGCGUAGGCGGCCCUUUAAGUCAGAGGUGAAAGGCAAAGGCUCAACCGAAGUAAGCCUUUGAAACGGUAGGGCUUGGGGUCAGGAGAGGAGAGUGGAAUUCCCAGUGUAGCGGUGAAAUGCGUAGAUAUUGGGAGGAACACCAGUUGCGAAGGCGGCUCUCUGGACUGUAACUGACGCUGAGGCACGAAAGCGUGGGGAGCGAACAGGAUUAGAUACCCUGGUAGUC
rnacentral:rRNA from 1 species